AGGGAUGUCAAUCGGGCCAGCCCAUCGGGUUUUCGGGCUAGCCCUAUCGGGUUCCGGGUUAAUCGGGUGCGGGCUAAUCGGGUUGGAGGUUUUUUCGGGUUGUAAAUCUCCAACCCUAACCCUAAACGUUCGGGUUUCGGGCUAGCCCAUCGGGUUGGAGGUUUUAAAGGUGUAAAAAUAAAAUUAUCAUUUGUAUUACAUUAUUCUUAAUGAUCUAAUGUAUAAUGUAUAAAAUAUACAUAAAUAUUAAAUAUAUAAAUUAUAUAGCCACUAUCAAGCAUCAAUAUAUAUAUAAAUUAUAUUCCGGGUUAAAUAAUGUAUAAUGUAUAAAAUAUUAAUGUAUAAAAACUUUGCGAUAUUUAAUUCCACUAUCAAGCAUCAAAUAUGUGGAAUUCCAACGUGUAGCCACAUCCAAGCAAAGUGAAGAAGUGAGCUCAAUACCAAUUUUCCUAGCACAUUCCUUAAACUUAAUCAUUCUCGCUUCUGAUGCUUUUACAUAUUUGACACUUGCUCUAAUUUUAUCCAAAGCAUCACUAGCAACCUUCAACCCUUCUUGAACUAUAAUAUUCAAGAUACGUGCACAACAUCUCACAUGGAAAUAAUCACCCUUGCACAACAAUGCAUUUUGCAAAUCAAGUCUUGUUUUCAAGAUUUUCACCAUGGCAGUAUUGGCAGAAGCAUUAUCCAAAGUCAAAGAAAAGACUUUUCUAUCUAUUUUCCAAUCCACCAAAAUAUCAUAAAUCUUUUGAGCUAAUUCGGGUCCAGAAUGUGGAGGAGGCAUAGAACAAAAUGCAAGUAUUUUGCUAUUUAAUUUCCAUUUCUCAUCCACAUAAUGUGCAGUCACACAAAUGUAACCCAAAUUAGUACAAGAAGUCCAACAAUCAGAAGUCAAACACAACAUCCCAGCAAUAUCAUUCAAUCGAUUCUUCAAUUUCUUCUUUUCAGAUUCAUAUACAUCCAUCACAUCUGAGGCAAGAGUAUUUCUACAGAUGAAUUUUAUAUUUGAGUUCAAAUACUGCAUAAAACCUCUCAUAUAUUAUACUCGACCCAAUUCAAUGGAAGAUCAUGUGCAACUGAUAUCUUAGUCAUCCAAUCACGACAUACUUUAGGAUCGAUUACUUUACUCUUACACUUUAACAUAGCACCCACAUCUCCAAAAGUGGUUUUUCUUACACACCAACAUAUGACGACUAAAAGUUGAAGUUCCUUGUUUCGUACCUUCAUAUUUCCAUCUUUGACCACAAUGGUUGCACUUUAUGUUCUUUCCAUCUUUGUCGGGUUUGUACCUACUUGUAAAAGUUUUUCCAAACUUCAGAAGUUUUUUGUCUCUUCUUAAGCUUGGCAUCGUCAACAAUUUUGACAUCUUCUUCACCACUCUCCAUAUCAACACUUGGAGAUGAGUCCUCCAUCUUUAACACCUA
rnacentral:lncRNA from 1 species